CCCUUAGAUGUUCUGGGCUGCACGCGCGCUACACUGAUACUUUCAGCGAGUCCACCACCUUGCCUGGGAGGGUGGGGUAACCUCUGGAAAGUGCAUCGUGAUGGGGAUCGAUUAUUGUAAUUAUUAAUCUUCAACGAGGAAUUCCUAGUAAGCAUGUGUCAUCAGCCCGUGCUGAUUACGUCCCUGCCCUUUGUACACACCGCCCGUCGCUACUACCGAUUGAAUGGUUUAGUGAGGCCUUCGGAUCCGCGACUCGUUUUGUGGAGAAGUUGGACAAACUCAGUCAUUUAGAGGAAGUAAAAGUCGUAACA
rnacentral:rRNA from 1 species